UACGGGGGGGGCAAGCGUUGUUCGGAAUUACUGGGCGUAAAGGGUUUGUAGGUGGCUUGCUAAGUCAGACGUGAAAUCCCUCAGCUUAACUGGGGAACUGCGUCUGAGACUGGCAAGCUUGAGUGCAGGAGAGGAACGCGGAAUUCCAGGUGUAGCGGUGAAAUGCGUAGAUAUCUGGAGGAACACCGGUGGCGAAGGCGGCGUUCUGGGUCUUACCUGACGCUGAGGAACGAAAGCCAGGGGAGCGAACGGG
rnacentral:rRNA from 1 species